GAUGAACGCUGGCGGCGUGCCUAAUACAUGCAAGUCGAGCGAACAGACGAGGAGCUUGCUCCUCUGACGUUAGCGGCGGACGGGUGAGUAACACGUGGAUAACCUACCUAUAAGACUGGGAUAACUUCGGGAAACCGGAGCUACUACCGGAUAAUAUAUUGAACCGCAUGGUUCAAUAGUGAAAGACGGUUUUGCUGUCACUUAUAGAUGGAUCCGCGCCGCAUUAGCUAGUUGGUAAGGUAACGGCUUACCAAGGCAACGAUGCGUAGCCGACCUGAGAGGGUGAUCGGCCACACUGGAACUGAGACACGGUCCAGACUCCUACGGGAGGCAGCAGUAGGGAAUCUUCCGCAAAGGGCGAAAGCCUGACGGAGCAACGCCGCGUGAGUGAUGAAGGUCUUCGGAUCGUAAAACUCUGUUAUUAGGGAAGAACAAAUGUGUAAGUAACUAUGCACGUCUUGACGGUACCUAAUCAGAAAGCCACGGCUAACUACGUG
rnacentral:rRNA from 1 species